GUGUCUUAUGAGUUUUUUCAAAGAACCACAGAAUGGCUAUGUUGGCAACAAACAUCUUGUCCUAUCCUGUCUGGUUGAAGAUGAAGAACCUGGAGCUCAAGGUGGUCCAGUGAGGAUGAAUGGCAGGACAGAAACAGCUGUGGACGGACCGGUCCUCGGAACAGCCCCACACCAGUUCAGCGUUUCCCCCUCAAGCUACCUGCUUUCAUUAAACGGAGAAGCGUUUGGGUUAAGACCGUUUCUUUUCCAUGUUCAAAGGGCCUGUUGGUGAGAUGCAGGAGAGACUGGCUUGGAUGGACAAGUCUACCCUGAGUUUUGUAAUGUGGAUUGCAACGUGACUGAGGAUGAGGAAGGCUCGAGUGUAAUGAUCCCUGGCAUGCCACCCUGAUCCCUGAUGAGCAAGCUCUCCCUUCUCAUCACUACAGGCGGUCUCAAGUUUACACAGUUACGAGUCACAGAACCUUGACUGAAAAAAGCACGUAUGGGCUUUGAACUGAGAGUCACAAAUUCUGGUUCUUGGUAAGAUGAAUCUAGCAUCCUCUUCCUGCCUCUCCCACUGGAUAGAACUGCAAAACCCAACCGGAGAUUAUUAGACAGCCA
rnacentral:lncRNA from 1 species